UCUUAGUUUUAAACAUACGCGUAAUUAAAACCACGCACUUGACAUUACUAGUUACGCAAAUGCACUUAAGUUUAAGUACAGUUUUAUGUACGUUAUCCGUGUGGCAUAACUGCACCUAGUUAACUAGAACAUAAAUGCCUCGAAUCAUAAGUGUAAAAAUAUAAAUCACAAAAAAACAUCGUGGUUGCAAUAUUCACUCUCACUUGGCAGUAACAUUGAAAAGUAUUUAACGGAAUAAACGCUAAACUACACAAUACCUACUGUACAACAGGUAUCUCGAAUUUCGACAUCCAAAUCGAGGAAAAGGUCCUCGCCUGUUCAACUUACUAUUAAAAACGGGAUAAUGGCAAGUGAUACGAACUCAAUACUUGACAUAACUGCGACAGAUAUGCGAAACAAGGAAAUUGAAUUCAUCAGGACAUAUUUCAAUAGUGUUGGACAACCAGAGCAUUAUUUGCUGGAAAAUAUGAAGGAGAUGCUGAAAGUUUGGAGAGGAUCUUAGAAUCUUAAGCUGUGUUAUCGUCGACGUCAUUUGUUUGUUCACAAACGCACAACAAACGCAAAGACCACAAACGCUUUUCAAUAAAUGAAUGCACUUGAAGAGCCAGUUGAGCAAGAAUUGUUGUAUGAGAGUGAAACAGAGGAAAUCCAGGAAUCACAAGAAAGCACUGAAGUACCGCCAAUCAACAACUUGGAACAUCAAGAAAGCACCAACAAUGAUACUUGCAAACAGUUGACAUACAAUUCAUUGUUUCUGACUCCAAGGCAACGAAUAAAUGUCUUUAUAGAAAGACAGUG